rnacentral:lncRNA from 1 species
AAUACACGGUGGGUAUGGUUGUCCUGCGAGAGAACGUUCUGUGCUGGUGAUUUGGUCCUGUCAGGUGCUGGUGGGUCCUGAUUCUGUGCUGGUGGCUUUGUUUACAUUGUAUCAUAACGGCAAUAAAACGACUGUUUUGUUGCUUAAUUUUUCUCUGAUGCGUCAUAAGUACCAUGCAAAGUAUAUUACAACAAUACUAUAUUGCAAAAGUCGUGCAAGUUCGUUAAACGGAAUUGUCCUGACGCUGUGCUGGUGAUAAGAAAAACGGUUCUGGUUCUGUGCUCCUAUGUCCUGGUUCUGUGCCUUUAUAUUUU